CAACUUGGUCCUAAAGUUGAUUAACUUGCUCUUUAACUUCUUUACUUUUUAGCAGAGUUAAUCACAUUUAUGUGAGCUAUCUGUAUGUGGUAUUGCAUAUGAGAGUUUCAUGUGCAAUUUCACUUGCUGUUAACUGGACGAUCUCAUGUAAAUCCCAUAAAAGUAAUUAUAUUCUCAUUAUGAAGUGCAGACUGCUCUUCUUAGGGAAGGGAAUAUGAGCUAUUAAUGGGAAAAAGUGCUGGAUGUGAGUUUCCUUUGGUAAUCACCAUUUGCAGAGCCUUGAGGGCUAUGCCAUAAGUUCAACACCUUUCUGCCAAGUAUAUCUGUGUUUUUUCCUGCUGCCCACAGGACAACAAACCGGUUGUGCUGGAAAAUUCCCAGCUUCCUGCUGCGUAUGAAUUAUAUUCAGCACCAUUCAAAACUGAACAGUGAGAUAAACAAAAUUAUAUUUACACUAGUUUUUCUUCUUCAAUCCUAUUGACUUUUCCUCCAGUGAAGAUCCUUAAUUUACAAUUUCUCCACUUCUUCCUGAUAGUUAGAAUGUAAGGAAUUAGGAUUGUUAGACCUGGAAGUACAUACAAAAUUACAGGAAGAUCAGAUUAGUGCAUCAUGUGGUAAAAAUUCCAUCCUUCACUUCAGCAGCAUUGGACGUAAGUUAAUUUUAAAACAUGUAAUCCAGAAAUAUAAUUGAAUAUAUGAUCUUAAAAGAAAACAGUUUAAAGCAAAGUCCCAAGUCUGUUUUUAUGUUUGGUAAUGCAGAAAUCUCUUUCCCUGUGGUUCUUAUUCAAAUUCCUUACCUCCGUCAUCGAACAGCCACCAAAUGUCAAUUGUUCCUUUUCCUUGCUUCUUUUUAAAUUGAGUGCUGGCUUCUAGCAGCUUCUGAUUGAAUUCACCCACAUGCAUUGACUGCAUGGUGUUAAUGGUGCUCUCUGCAAUGGGAAAGAAAAAAGUGUGGAGGGAUGUCUGACAAGUGAGGAUACGAGUAGCUUUAGGGAGCCAAACGGAGAGAAACCUUCAGGGAAAUGAACUGUUUGUGACAUAAUUUCUAUACUUUAAAUCUGAAAAAAACCCCAAUUACAGAGUGGAUGCUGUGGAGUUUUAAUGUGCCAGCACUCACAGAAACCAAAGCUUGUGGGAUACAUUGUCACUAGAUUAUAGCAUCUUGAAAAGGGUUGUCUGAUUAUUUGUUCUCUGUCUCUUUUUACUUAAUGUAAAAUUCACUGGGGCCUUAAAAAGCAAGUGGGAAAUAUCUGAUAGAUUUUAGAAGUAAGUGUAUCAUUUUGCAUCAUUUACAAGCUCAGCUGUCUUGUAAAACAGAGCUUUCCCUGGAAGGCACAGCCAUGGUGGAUGAAACCAGGAUGCAGUGGGAGCACAGGUGAAGCUGAGGCUGGAAGGCAGGAAACACAGACAUAUAUGGCUGCUUCCCUGGGCUGGGCUGGUCCUUGUUAAUUGAAAAUAAAUUCUGGUCCUUGCUGCUUGCUUGGUUGGCUUCAAAAGUCAUAGUCUUGACUAUGCACUAACAAUGUCUUCUCUCAUUGCAGCUUUUGAAGCCCGUGGCUUUAUUACUGCUCCUCUUUCAAUGAUUUCAAAGAGAUGGUGUCAGAGCAGUAUUUUAAAUGGAGCACACAGGCUUCUUUAGGGUUUUACUCUGAUCUGCUAGUUUCUGAAAAUGCUUUGUUUGGUUUUCCUGUGUUUCUGGAGUGUGUACAGGAUAGUUCUAAAGCAGUUCUAGCAUCUCUGCUGGAAGAUGCAAAAACUCUGGGGAGUAUGAACAUAAAAGCAAAACAGAGAGGCAGGGAUAUUUAUUAUCAUAAUCUAUCUCAUGUAGAGAUACAGAGUAUGCAAUAUGUAUUUCCUUUAUGCCCUUCUCAACUAAAUCAAAAAGGGUAGUUGAAACAGAGGUGUACACUUUUGUUGGAAUUGUUGUAAAAAUAUAUUUUACUGAAGCCUGCAAAAUGAACUGAAGUCUGCCAACUAAAGAAUAAUGAUAUUUUAUGUUUUCAGUCUGUAGAUCUUCCUGAUACCCGUGGGAGUUGAAUGCACAGCCAGAUGUAAUAGUCUCUGCAGGUGAAAAUUCUGAAAAUACAUGUCUGUGUACAGGCAUGGCUUCAGAUAUUGAGUGUGCUGGCUUUUUUGAAGAAUCCACAGAUGCCUCUUUUUCCUUCUUCAAACUCAUUUUCCUUAAUGGUGGCUUCCAGUGCCAAUCUCUCCUGCUCCAGCUUCUCUAAUUCCUCUGUAUAUUGGAAAAAGGUGUCCAAAGCUGCACACAAGACUCAAGGUGAGGUUAUGGUGUGUUUUUCCAUUUCCCCUGAGAUAUUCACUGCUAACCUAAGGAAGAAUGAACAGAAAGGUGAAGAAGAAUUGAUGUUUCCUGUGGGUUCUGAAUUUUUGCAUGAGUGGGAACUCUCUGGGCCCCAGAGUUCUGCAGAGGUGGUACCGAAAGUGCAGCUUCCUGAUUCCUGCCAGUCCCAGAGGACUCAGAUCUCAGAAGAGCAUGUUUAUCCUCAGAAUUAGCCUUGUAACAGUUUUGGAGGAACCACUGCAAAUUACUGAGAGCUGAAUUACUUGCCAAACCCCAAGACUGCAAAUCAGUGACAGAGCUAAAAAUGGAGCCUGGCCUACAGACAGUAUUAUGAAGUUAAUGAAAUACGUACUUUCAGAUCUCCUGAGAUGUUGGCUCCUGCAAGAAUGCCAGUGGCAGCUGGGAAAAAAAUGGCAAACACCGAAAAAAAUCCUUCUCCACUUCUGAAAUCUGGUCCAAAGUUUUCUGCAAAUAUUGAUGCUGCAAAUACAGGUUUACCUUUGCUUCCCAUUCCAUGCCAGCAGCAGUGAUGCCGAGAAGACAGACAACAGUUAUGGUGCCUAUGAUUCUGAUGUCAUUGGACUCAUCUACUAUCAGAGUAUCGCUCUCCUGAAAGCAGUGAGAAAUGUUAAUAGAACCAGUAUUUCUCUGCCCAACUGGUGGGAUCAAGUAACAAGGAGUGGCUGAAACGUAAGGAGUGUUAUAAAGAAGGCAUUAAACUGAAGGCAUCCACUGAUGUGCAUCAGUGUUUAAAAUGAGAGGAAGAGGUGUCUCCGUGCUCAGUUUGUUGAAGGAUGUCCAACCUGGAAUGCUCUGAAUAGGAAAGACCAGCUGAAAGCCACUCUCUCCACCGAGCCAGUGCUCACAGCGAUGUUCUGGAGAAUCACACAGAAAACAAACACACUUUUGUGCCAAGCAGAGGACACCUGGCUGCAGAAGAGAGACACAGGAGAAGGGAAUUCCAAAGAAGAUCAGGUUUUACUGCUCUGGAGUAGAGAGCAAUAUUCCACUUACACCGGGCGUCAGCAGAAUGGUUUAGUCUUCAUCUCUCCUGGGGCUAAAGAUGAUGAGCUCAUCAAGUCUCCAUAACAAGUGUGGAGAACAGCCAAGAGGAAGAAAGGAUACAGAGCAUCAAGCAGACUGCAGUUACCAGAGGAAAUAUGCCUUUUAAAGUUGCAAGGAAGUGUUUCAUCUUCAGGCAUGAAGGAGCAAAAACAAAUCUUCUGUCUUUAAGGAUCUCCCAUGGCCAGUUCUUCAGUGACAGUCCACUCUACAAAGUUGCAGCUGUGGAGAGGGGCUGGAGAGUACAGAGCUCUGCAGUCAGCUCUGGACCCCUGUCCCUCCUGGGGGCUGGGUACAAAUGGAAAUUCUGCUUGAGUUUCUGUUACUGUAGAUUGGGAGAUCUAUCAAAAAAAUACUGAUGUGAGUUACACAGUGUUUGCAGAGGACCACAUCAAGUUUUCACAGAGAAGCAAUGACCUUUCCUCAUAACCAGUCAGUAGUAGAGCACCUGCUCUUCUUGGAAGAAAUUUCAGCACAUGGCUGUUGCAAAUAGCAUUUUGUCAGACUGGGCACAAGUCUACAGAUUCUGAUUUGGCAAUACUCACCAAGGUCUCCACCUGGAGAAACCAGGAAACAGCAGGUCUGAACUCUUUCCUGAUGGUGCUCAGGGGGCUGACCCUGAUGUGUGUCCUAUGGAGGGCAGGAGACUCAGGCAACUCCCCCCUGCCACUGCCACCAGGAGAGCUCUGCGUGUUUCCAGCUAGGUCAAGAGUCUGCUCCUUGGAGUCGCCUGUAUAAAAACACUGAAAAAGAGAAAGGCUUCUUAACAUCCUGCUGUGAAAUAAAAGGCCGUUGGAAGCCUUUCUAAGGCCAGAAUAAACAAUCAGAGUCCUAAAGAAAAUAGGAUUGAGGAAAACAGCAUAUAGAGCACUGAGCUAGAAAGAACAGAGGAGCAUCACCAGCCCAACUCUGCCAAUGUUUGGUGUUGAUUGAAGACCCUGGCUCCAGUUCUUUGGUGGUUUGGAGUGACAGGAUGACGCUUUUUUCAGAUCUAGCCUUUACUCAUAUGUCUACAGAGAAUCUCAGAAGAUUAAGAAAGUAAG